UACGGAGACUGCAAGCGUUAUUCGGAUUCACUGGGCGUAAAGGGUGCGCAGGCGGUCAUGUGUGUCAGGUGUGAAAUCUCGGAGCUCAACUCCGAAACUGCGCCUGAAACUACAUGACUAGAGUAUCGGAGAGGUGAGCGGAAUUCAUGGUGUAGCAGUGAAAUGCGUAGAUAUCAUGAGGAACACCAGAGGCGAAGGCGGCUCACUGGACGAUUACUGACGCUCAGGCACGAAAGCAUGGGUAGCGAAAGGG
rnacentral:rRNA from 1 species